AGUAACCUAGGGGGACUGACGCUUUGUUAAUUCGUUCAUUCUUCACUCUUUUUCUAAUAUCCUCUAUUUGGUUAUCUCCCAUCUUUGUAGCGGGGGGCUCACAGCUACACAUCGCUACCCAACCACCCACAAUGUAACUCUUUUUCUUCCCUUCUUCUUUUGUGCAGAUAUGUAAGUAUGCUUUCAUUUGCAAACUGGGCAUUAUCGCAUUUACAAAAUCUUUAAAGCUGAAAAUGGGAAGCCAUGGAUAUUACUUACCUAGAAUUCCUAUCACUAGACGAUUCAGAACACACCCUUUUGUUUUUAUUCCCAGCUCGCUACCAUUUUGCUCUGAUUCUACUUCUACUUCUACUUCUACCCAGAACCAGAACAAUUUUAAUCAAUUUGAACACGUUUCUAGUCUUCAGGAAGUAACAUUGAGCACCACCAGCAGCCAACAUUCUAACCCUUUAGAACCUUUGUGCCUUGAGUUAGUUCAAAAGCUUCGGAUUUUACUUCAACAGGGGCGUACGGGUGCUGCCGAGAGCCUCAUUAAGUCGGUAAUUCUCUCCAAAUCUCCUUUCUCAUCACCUUCUGAUCUCAUUCCGCUUUUUUCUGUCCAUGCUCCAUCCUUGAAUCAUGUUUUUUCAAAGACGUUGUUUAUGGUGUUUUUGGAUCUCAAAAUGACUGAUGAUGCUAUAAGAUUAUGCACCUCAAUGAAGAAAAAUGGUGUUGUUCCUGCCGUGGUGGAUACCCUUAAUGUUUUAUUUAAACUUUUAAUGUCUUCAAAAGAGUUUAAGAAAACGCUUGACUUCUUUUCUGAACUUGUUGAAUCUGGUAUUCUACCAGAUAAAUUCAUGUAUGGUAAGGCAGUUGAGGCCGCGAUGAAACUAGGGAACAUGAAUAAGGCAUGUGAUCUGGUGUGUUGCAUGAAGAAGAUAGGGAUUGAUCCUACUUUCUUUGUUUAUAAUGUGUUAAUCUCUGGCUUUUGCAAAGAAAAGAAAAUGGUUGAUGCACAAAAGAUAUUUGAUGAAAUGAUCACCAAAAACAUGUCCCCGAAUUUGGUUACUUAUAAUACAAUUAUCAAUGGAUAUUGUAAGGCGGGAAAACUGGAUAAAGCUUUUAGUUUGAAGGAGAGGAUGAAGCUUGAAAAUUUGGGACCUAAUCUUGUAACAUACAACUCUUUGCUAAGUGGGCUCUGUAAGGCAAGGCAGAUGGAAGAAGCCAAAAAGUUAUUGGUUGAGAUGGAAACUCAUGGGUUUGCACCAGAUGGAUUUACCUAUAGCAUACUUUUUGAUGGGUAUCUGAGGUCUGGCGACGGUGAAGCCUCAGUGGUUCUGUUUGAAGAAGCAGUUAAAAAAGGGGUGAGAAUAAAUGAAUACACUUGUUGUAUUUUGUUGAAUGGGUUAUGUAAAGAUGGUAAGGCAGAAAAAGCUGAGGAAUUUCUGACGAAGUUAAUGAUGAAUGGAUUGGUUCCGAAUGAAAUAAUUUUUAAUGUACUAGUGGAUGGGUAUUGCCGAAAAGGAAAUAUUGAUGGUGCUAUAUCAACCAUCCAAAGGAUGGAAAAUCAAGGCUUAACACCCAAUUGCAUCACUUUUAAUUCGUUGAUCCAUAAAUUUUGUGAAAUAAAAGAGAUGGACAAGGCAGAGGAGUGGUUGAGAAAGAUGAUGGAGAGGGAAGUUUGCCCUAGUAUUGAAACCUAUAACACCCUUCUUGAUGGUUAUGGACGGAUGCGUCUUUUUGAUAGAUGUUUCCAAGUUCUCGAAGAAAUGGAAAGUAAAGGGAUAAAGCCAAAUGUUGUAAGCUAUGGAGCUCUCAUUAACUGUCUGUGCAAAGUUGGUAGAUUUGUUGAAGCUGAAGCAGUUUUUGCUGAUAUGGAUGGAAAAGGAGUAUUUCCAAAUGCUCAAAUUUAUAAUAUGCUGAUUGAUUGUAAUUGCACAUCAGGGAAGAUGCAAGAUGCUUUCAAGACUUUUGAUGAAAUGAUUGAUAGGGACAUCACCCCAACCCUUGCAACAUACAAUUCACUCAUCAAUGGAUUGUGCAAGAAAGGGAGGGUGAUUGAAGCAGAAGAGUUAGCCAACCAAAUUACAAAGAGUGGUCUUACACCUGAUGUGAUCACAUACAACUCCCUUAUCUCUGGUUAUUGUAGUUCUGGGAACUCUAAAAAAGGCCUUGAGUUAUAUGAAACUAUGAAAAAGCAAGGCAUCAAUCCUACAUUAAUAACCUAUCAUCUUUUAAUAUCCGGACGUAGCAAGGUUGGUCUAGAUACUAUGGAGGAACUGUUCAAUGAAGUGUUACACAGGGAUCUUGCUCUAGAUAAAGUUGUAUAUAAUGGACUGAUUUUUUGCUAUGUAGAAAACGGAGAUGUUCAGAAGGCAUUUGUUUUGUACAAUAAGAUGAUAGUUGAAGGAGUCCAACUAGACAAGAUAACUUACAACAGCUUGAUUUUAGGAUGCUCCAGAGGUGGUAAGGUUACAGAAGUAAGGAAACUUGUCGAGGAUAUGAAGGCUAGAGGGUUGACUCCUAAGGCUGACACUUACAAUAUCUUAGUUAAGGGACUUUGUGAAUUUGGUGAUUAUAGUGAGGCACAUACAUGGUAUAAAGAGAUGUUUGAAAACAACUUAUUGUUAAAUUCCCCUGUUCGCAAUCAACUCAUUGAUGGUCUCAAGAGAGAGGGGAGGUUUCAGGAAGCGCGACUUAUUUUGUCUGAGACGUAUGUCUGAAUUUUGAGUAAUGAGCCUUCUGCAUCUAUGACUAUGACUAUGACUGUGUGUAACAACUCUCAACUGAGAGUUCGCACUUAGAUUACUUAGGAAAAAUACAGUGGGCUCCUUUCAAGAGGGAGUUCCUCUCCAAGUGCAGUACCAAAAUAUCACAGACCAAAAAACAUAAGUCCCACUACAACACAAAAGUAAUAUAUAUAACAGUACACGUCACCCAACCCUACUUAACACUGGUUCGGUCUACCCCUUCUCACAUAUGUGUGUAUGAUGGGUGGUCAAAGACUAUGUAGUUUAAACAUUUGCUUUAAAGAACCUGUGAACACAUAUGGCUAUCACUGUUGAAAAGUGUUUCUACAGGUGGAUUAUGUUGCUAUGGUUCAUGGCAACAUAAUCCAACGUCUUAUAUCUGAUGACACAGCUGCCGAGUGACUUGAUGUUUUGAUAGCAUCUAUCAUGGUGGUUGUGGCUGUGUUUGUGAAGAGACCAGUUGCCAACAUUGUAUCACAUGCAUUUAAACAUAGUUGCGGUGGUGUUUGCUUGAAUUGGAGAAUUGAAUUUGUUCUUUGCCGUGCUCUCCGAAUCUUCAUCUCAUAGGAAAAGAAAGACGAUAGGUUUUUACGUAGCACAUAUUUGGUUCUCUUGGUGUGAAAUCACAAGCAGUAAAUAUUGUGAUCGAAAGUUGUUGAGGCUUUCAAUGAAACCGAAUAAUUUUUCCGUUCUCACACCAAUUUUGUAGUAUUAGCUUAGUAACAGGUCGAUCUGAGAUAACCAACCGCUUUUUCUUUAAGACGAACCACACAAAUUAUGAGUGAAUCAAAGAAAAAAAGGACAAAGAACACAAAUCUAAAGAUGAUGGUUGAAAGUUAUCAACGAAAUAAAACACAACGGUGUUGUGGCACCCUAGGGCAGUGUUGCGGGACCAAGCCGCGCGCGAAUAGUUCCAUUAAACUUCAGAGAGUCAUGGUGCCCAAGUGCACUGUUGCGACGUUGUGUGUCACAGUCAUGCUUGUUCAAGGCAUGUUGCAUGUGGUCCUAUGAUCACUCUGACUCCUCGCAUUGUCUUUUUUUAUUUUUCAAAUACUUUUAUUAAGUAUGUCAUCUCACACAUUAAUGUACGCGAGCCUUCCCGUUCCCUUUUUGUUCAGAAUAUGCUAUAUGGGGAUAAGAUUUAUCAUUGUACUUUUAUACCCAUGAGUUAAAAGAUAUAAAGUUUUUGUCCCUUAUUGCUUAUA